rnacentral:rRNA from 1 species
AUGUACAUGCUUAUAGCGUUAAUGCAUUAGAUCCCAUCAGAACUCCACAGUUAAACAUGCUUAGGAUAGAGUAGUAUUGGGAUGGGUGAACUCCCUAUAAUUCCUAGUGUUUUACAUU